GAACAGGCGUUGAAAGAGAAAGUACCUUCCAAAUCUGAGAAUAGCGAGCCGGGGGCGGUGGAAGCCCGGUCAACGGAUUGGAAAUGAAAAUCACUCUCGAGCUGGAUUGCGGAGUAAUUUACGUGAUCCCGGAAACACCCCGUUAUGGUGUCUGAGUGGUAGCAAAUUCGUUUGCUACAAGUAGGGUGGUAACGCGAGAAUAAUUCUUCGUCCCUUUU
rnacentral:ncRNA from 1 species